rnacentral:rRNA from 1 species
AACGAACGCUGGCGGCAUGCCUAACACAUGCAAGUCGAACGAGACCUUCGGGUCUAGUGGCGCACGGGUGCGUAACGCGUGGAAACCUGCCCUUAGGUUCGGAAUAACUCCCCGAAAGGGGUGCUAAUACCGGAUAAUGUCUUCGGACCAAAGAUUUAUCGCCUUUGGAUGGGCCCGCGUUGGAUUAGCUAGUUGGUAGGGUAAAAGCCUACCAAGGCGACGAUGCAUAGCUGGUCUGAGAGGAUGAUCAGCCACACUGGGACUGAGACACGGCCCAGACUCCUACGGGAGGCAGCAGUGGGGAAUAUUGGACAAUGGGCGAAAGCCUGAUCCAGCAAUGCCGCGUGAGUGAUGAAGGCCUUAGGGUUGUAAAGCUCUUUUACCCGGGAUGAUAAUGACAGUACCGGGAGAAUAAGCUCCGGCUAACUCCGUG